AGAAUCAACGCUGGCGGCGUGCCUAACACAUGCAAGUCGAACGAGAAAGGGGAGCAAUCCCUGAGUAAAGUGGCGCACGGGUGAGUAACACGUGACUAACCUACCCUGGAGUGGGGGAUAACUGAGGGAAACCUUAGCUAAUACCGCAUAAUACCUACGGGUCAAAGGAGCAAUUCGCUUCAGGAGGGGGUCGCGGCCGAUUAGUUAGUUGGCGGGGUAAUGGCCCACCAAGACUAUGAUCGGUAU
rnacentral:rRNA from 1 species